rnacentral:rRNA from 1 species
GUGACUGCGUACCUUUUGUAUAAUGGGUCAGCGACUUAUAUUCUGUAGCAAGGUUAACCGAAUAGGGGAGCCGGAGGGAAACCGAGUCUUAAUUGGGCGUUAAGUUGCAGGGUAUAGACCCGAAACCCGGUGAUCUAGCCAUGGGCAGGUUGAAGGUUGGGUAACACUAACUGGAGGACCGAACCGACUAAUGUUGAAAAAUUAGCGGAUGACCUGUGGCUGGGGGUGAAAGGCCAAUCAAACCGGGAGAUAGCUGGUUCUCCCCGAAAGCUAUUUAGGUAGCGCCUCGUGAAUUCAUCUCCGGGGGUAGAGCACUGUUUCGGCUAGGGGGCCAUCCCGGCUUACCAACCCGAUGCAAACUGCGAAUACCGGAGAAUGUUAUCACGGGAGACACACGGCGGGUGCUAACGUCCGUCGUGAAGAGGGAAACAACCCAGACCGCCAGCUAAGGUCCCAAAGUCAUGGUUAAGUGGGAAACGAUGUGGGAAGGCCCAGACAGCCAGGAUGUUGGCUUAGAAGCAGCCAUCAUUUAAAGAAAGCGUAAUAGCUCACUGGUCGAGUCGGCCUGCGCGGAAGAUGUAACGGGGCUAAACCAUGCACCGAAGCUGCGGCAGCGACACUCAGGUGUUGUUGGGUAGGGGAGCGUUCUGUAAGCCUGUGAAGGUGGCCUGUGAGGGUUGCUGGAGGUAUCAGAAGUGCGAAUGCUGACAUAAGUAACGAUAAAGCGGGUGAAAAGCCCGCUCGCCGGAAGACCAAGGGUUCCUGUCCAACGUUAAUCGGGGCAGGGUGAGUCGACCCCUAAGGCGAGGCCGAAAGGCGUAGUCGAUGGGAAACGGGUUAAUAUUCCCGUACUUGGUGUUACUGCGAAGGGGGGACGGAGAAGGCUAUGUUGGCCGGGCGACGGUUGUCCCGGUUUAAGCGUGUAGGCUGGUGUUCCAGGCAAAUCCGGAACACUGAGGCGUGAUGACGAGGCACUACGGUGCUGAAGCAACAAAUGCCCUGCUUCCAGGAAAAGCCUCUAAGCAUCAGGUAACAUCAAAUCGUACCCCAAACCGACACAGG